UAUAUGACCUUAGCUGUUUGUUUCCAGUGUUUAACAACAGUUUAAAGUUCGAGAUACAUUCAACUAGCCUAAUAAGUGGUGCCGACAUAUUUGAUCAGGUAUAGUGAUUUCAAGAGAGAAGAAACAUCGGUUUAAACAAACGGGAAUGCAUUCGGCAAUUAUACAAACUUUGGAUUUCCAUUGGAACGAGAGCCGGUGGUCUCUGCCCGAUCCGCCCUCGUUCCGCUUCAUCCCGUCGUCCCUACCCGAUUUGGCAACAAUCGCAAGUGGCUAAAGUAGAGCUUUAAUAACAUGAACUAUGGCCGCUGCUCAAAGGACAAAGGAUGUCAAAGCAGGUAAUGUCAAAUGGAUGAUCAGAGGUUGUCGCAAUUAAUAUAUGUUACAUAAUAACAUUAAAAUCUUGAAAUUACAAACACAAAGUUAAAUUAUAAGAUUGUUAAAAGAUUUUUAAUAAUAAUCGGAAGUAAAAUAGAGAAUGUAGGUUUUAUUGCAGAUCCUUAAAAAGGUACUAAUUUCGAUAGACGCAACUUGUUGAGCAAUCAAGAAAUACCAAAACUGACAACUUGUCGAUCAAUAAACCGUGGAUCUUUACGCAAAAUCAAAAUUGUCUAAAGUAAUUGUAAGGAACAUAAAUCCGCUAAAAAUAUCAUUUUUUGUUUAAUCAUUAUAAUAAGUUGUACAUAAUAUUAAAAUAUUCUUAAAUUCUUUUAAAGUUUAAAGCUUUUCUUUUGAAGCUUCUGUUUAACUUGAAGUCAUUGUUGUAAAAAAAGAUGAAUAAAGAUGAAUCAAGAAACUCUGAAACUUA